rnacentral:rRNA from 1 species
UGUCGGGUAAGUUCCGACCUGCACGAAUGGCGUAACGAUGGCCACACUGUCUCCACCCGAGACUCAGUGAAAUUGAAAUCGCUGUUAAGAUGCAGUGUACCCGCGGCUAGACGGAAAGACCCCGUGAACCUUUACUAUAGCUUCACAUUGGUAUUGGGUAAUUCAUGUGUAGGAUAGGUGGGAGACUUUGAUGCUGCGUCGCUAGGCGUAGAGUAGUCGUUGUUGAAAUACCACCCUUGAAUUAUCUGAUGCCUAACCCGAUGAGGGGACAUUGUGUGGUGGGUAGUUUGACUGGGGUGGUCGCCUCCAAAAGAGUAACGGAGGC